rnacentral:rRNA from 1 species
GACGAACGCUGGCGGCGUGCUUAACACAUGCAAGUCGAACGGAAAGGCCCUGCUUUUGUGGGGUGCUCGAGUGGCGAAAGGGUGAGUAACACGUGAGUAACCUGCCCUUGACUUUGGGAUAACUUCAGGAAACUGGGGCUAAUACCGGAUAGGAGCUCCUGCUGCAUGGUGGGGGUUGGAAAGAUUCGGCGGUUGGGGAUGGACUGGCGGCUUAUCAGCUUGUUGGUGGGGUAGUGGCUUACCAAGGCUUUGACGGGUAGCCGGCCUGAGAGGGUGACCGGCCACAUUGGGACUGAGAUACGGCCCAGACUCCUACGGGAGGCAGCAGUGGGGAAUAUUGCACAAUGGGCGGAAGCCUGAUGCAGCAACGCCGCUUGCGGGAUGACGGCCUUCGGGUUGUAAACCGCUUUCGCCUGUGACGAAGCGUGAGUGACGGUAAUGGGUAAAGAAGCACCGGCUAACUACGUG